AUUGAACGCUGGCGGCAUGCCUAACACAUGCAAGUCGAGCGGAGCGGCGGACGGGUGAGUAAUGCCUAGGAAUCUGCCUGGUAGUGGGGGAUAACGUCCGGAAACGGGCGCUAAUACCGCAUACUAUCAGAUGAGCCUAGGUCGGAUUAGCUAGUUGGUGGGGUAAAGGCUUACCAAGGCGGCGAGCCGUAACGGGUCUGAGAGGAUGAUCAGUCACACGGGAACUGAGACACGGUCCAGACUCCUACGGGAGGCAGCAGUGGGGAAGAUUGGACAAUGGGCGAAAGCCUGAUCGAGCCAUGCCGCGUGAGUGAAGAAGGUCUUCGGAUUGUAAAGCACUUUAAGUUGGGAGGCGUUACCAACAGAAUAAGCACCGGCUAACUUCGUGCCAGCCGCCGCGGUAAUUC
rnacentral:rRNA from 1 species